UAACCGUUCUGUAUUCAUCUUAAAGCCUCAGUGAUUUCGAAGCAAACAUUUCUCAGAAUCUUGGAACUUUUACUUUUGAAGUUUGCAUCUUAGGCUGUAACCAUGCUGUGACUCAGGAGCUAAAUCCAGUCGACCCACACUCAAGAGAAAUACUUGACCGCUAGUAAGCGAAGAGAUAGCCCAACGUUCUGUAUGCUCCUGAUUUCUACGUGUUCCACCUGUCUGGUCAGCAUAUCAGAAUCUUCUCUCAACUCAGAAAACCAAGUAUGCAUUACAAGGAGAUGUACCACCUCUCCUGGAUUUCAGACCCUCGAUGUCAGUUGUCGUUGUUGUGAUUUCUCAUUUGGAUCCUUGUUGCGCACACGAGGUGCCUACACAACACGCUACCAUAUUAUUAUGCAGCCCAGACCUUGUGGGUUUGCAGAAUAGCAAAAAGGUCAGAAGUGGAAUGAAAUGAAUAUUCUCCGACUGUCCCAUGCCGACGAGAACUCCCGCUCAUUCAUCAUUCUGGGCCUGAGAGCUGGCAGAGCACCCGGAAGCUGGAAGAGGAUGGAUGGAGCCCCGGAGGGGGACUCUCCCUCAGGCAGACACGAAAAGCCAGUCAGAAAGAAGCGGAGGUGUGUUCCUGCCUUUCUCCAGACCAACUUUCCUCUAGACCCCGUUGUCUGUGGGCCAGGACCUGACGGUGCCUCUUAGGGGCAGACCCUCAGCCUUCACCUCCUCCGGGACACUCCAGGCUGCCACCAGCCAUGCUCUCUGUGAUCAUUCUUUCAGAAUCAUAGUCCCUGGCAUGGGCUUUCCAAAUAUUGUGAUGGAACUGAGAAGUAUUUUAGUUCCUUAUAUGAGCCAGAUAGUAGAGGGUUGAAUGGUGGUCCCCACCCCCCCCCCACAAGUUUACACCCAUGUCUUAAUCUUUGGCACCUGCGAGUGUGACCUCAUUUGGAAAAAGGGUCUUUGCAGUUGUCAUUGGGGUCAGGAUCUCAAGAGGAGAUUAUCCUGGGUAACCCUAGGGGGCCCUGGAUCCAAUGACAAGUGUCCCUGCAAGAGACAGGAGAGAAGACCAUGUGACAAGAGAGGCAGAGAUUAGAAGAAGGGUGGGGCCAUAGGCAUAAGACACCUGCAUCUGGGAGAGGCAGGGAAGGCCUCCUCUAGACCUUUCAUUCGUGUCAUCCUGGCUUCCAGAACUGCGGGAAUAUACAUUUUUGUUGUUUUAAGCCACUCCGUUUGUGACACUUGGAGGUAACUCUAGCAAACUAAUAUAUACCCCCAAAAUAGGUUUUAGUUUUCAUUUUUGUUUUAGUUUUCCCUACAAAUAAAUUUCUUGCAAAAAUU